rnacentral:lncRNA from 1 species
UCCACUCCGGAUUUACAAAAGUUUUCCAUCAAGGUUCUAAGUCUAACAUAUAGCUCAUCCGGGUGUGAAAGGAAUUGGAGCGUGUUUGAACAUGUAAGAACUAAGAAGAAAGAUUUAGUAUAUUGAGAUAAUUAAAUUAUAUCUCAAUUGUCCUAAACUUACUAAUUACUUAUUAUUUGUAGAUUCAUACCAAAAAAAGGAACAAACUAACCUUGAAGCGUCUCAAUGAUCUAGUAUUCAUUAAGUACAAUAGAACAUUGAGGCGUUGUUACAACGCUCGCAAUGUAAUUGAUCCAAUUAGUUUGGACAACAUCGAUGAUGCUAAUGAAUGGCUAACUGGAGUCCCGGAAGAUCAUGC